AACUGGGAUUAGAUACCCCACUAUGUAUGAUUGUUAACAUCGAUGAUUUAAUACCCAGAUCAUCCGCCCGGGUAAUACGAGCGCUAGCUUAAAAUCCAAAGGACUUGGCGGUGCUUUAGACCCCCCUAGAGGAGCCUGUUCUA
rnacentral:rRNA from 1 species